GGCAGCACCAUGCAGCUCAUCUGCUCUCAAGAACAAUUGUGAAUGAUUGAAAAUUUUUUUGACAGCAAAACAAACAACUGUGCACGUCAUCCUACAGAAUUUUGUAAAAUUUAUUUUUAAUCAAUUUAUAAAUUAAAUUAAAACAAAAAUGAGUGCUCUUUUCAAUUUCCAAAGUUUGUUAUCAGUGAUCCUGUUAAUGAUUUGUACUUGUGCCUAUUUGCGUUCGCUAUUUCCCAGCAUUAUGGACCGAAAUAAGACCGGUUUUCUGGGAACUUUCUGGAAACUGGCUAGAAUAGGUGAACGGAAAUCUCCUUAUGUGGCGGUGGCAUGUAUAAUAAUGGCAGUUUCCAUUUUAUUCUGGACGUGAUUGAUUUUGUUGAUUGCAAAGUCAAGAAGCUUUAGUUUAAGAAUCAUCCACCAUUCGUUGAGUUGGCUUAAAACAGAUUAUUAUGAAUUUUUUUUGCUGACAGAGUUACCAGAGCCUGGUUUGUGUCUAAUUUUGAGUUUCGGACGAUGUUAUAAAUUAAGUCUGUAUAUCGUCACCAUUAACGUAAACGGGUUGUUCACUAGCCAAAAUAAGUUUCAAAAAACAAAAUGUUUUCCGUUUUUGUGAUAUCACAACUUUUUAAAAGGUUUUUGUAUCAGUGUUCUCUAUGCUGUAAUAAUUUUUUCAAAGUUCCAACUCCUUCCUCUGCAUAUCUGAGACGGAAACCACUGGUUUUGAGCGACCAGAGCAGAAACUGCAGAAUUUGUAAGAAAUUAUUCUUUAAUAAUUGAUUUUAUAGAAAAAAUCAAUAAAAAUAAGCUAAAUUACGCACUUUUAUAAUGCUCCAAAAGUGCAUUUUAAGUUAUCUAAAGAUGCAUUUUAUUAAAAAAAAUUUUCUUUACGCGCAAUCAAAGUA